GGGAAGGGGUGACUAGGGACAGAGUGAGGGAGGUGGUGACUAGUGACAGAGUGAGGGAGGGGGUGACUAGUGACAGAGUGAGGGAGGGGGUGACUGUCACUAGUCACCACCUCCCUCCGUCACUGUGUCACCCCCUCCCUCACUCUGUCACCAGUCAUCCCCUUACUCUGUCACUAGUCACCCCUCCCUCACUCUGCCACUAGUCACCCCUUCCCUCACUCCCUCACUCUGUCACUAGUCACCCCCUCACUC